rnacentral:rRNA from 1 species
UACGUAGGGUGCAAGCGUUAAUCGGAAUUACUGGGCGUAAAGCGUGCGCAGGCGGUUUUGUAAGACUGACGUGAAAUCCCCGGGCUCAACCUGGGAAUGGCGUUGGUGACUGCAAGGCUAGAGUUUGGCAGAGGGGGGUAGAAUUCCACGUGUAGCAGUGAAAUGCGUAGAUAUGUGGAGGAACACCGAUGGCGAAGGCAGCCCCCCUGGGUCAAAACUGACGCUCAUGCACGAAAGCGUGGGAAGCAAACAGG